GCACGGGUGCGUAACGCGUGGGAAUCUGCCCUUGGGUACGGAAUAACUCAGAGAAAUUUGUGCUAAUACCGUAUAAUGUCUUCGGACCAAAGAUUUAUCGCCCAAGGAUGAGCCCGCGUAAGAUUAGCUAGUUGGUGAGGUAAGAGCUCACCAAGGCGACGAUCUUUAGCUGGUCUGAGAGGAUGAUCAGCCACACUGGGACUGAGACACGGCCCAGACUCCUACGGGAGGCAGCAGUGGGGAAUAUUGGACAAUGGGCGAAAGCCUGAUCCAGCAAUGCCGCGUGAGUGAUGAAGGCCUUAGGGUUGUAAAGCUCUUUUACCCGGGAUGAUAAUGACAGUACCGGGAGAAUA
rnacentral:rRNA from 1 species